UACGAAGGGGGGCUAGCGUUGCUCGGAAUCACUGGGCGUAAAGCGCACGUAGGCGGCUUUCUAAGUCAGGGGUGAAAUCCUGGAGCUCAACUCCAGAACUGCCUUUGAUACUGGGAAGCUCGAGUCCGGAAGAGGUGAGUGGAACUCCGAGUGUAGAGGUGAAAUUCGUAGAUAUUCGGAAGAACACCAGUGGCGAAGGCGGCUCACUGGUCCGGUACUGACGCUGAGGUGCGAAAGCUAGGGGAGCAAACGGG
rnacentral:rRNA from 1 species